GGAUUGUGGCUCAGUGUAGAGUGCUUGCCUAGCAUGUGUGAGGCACUGGGUUCGAUCCCCAGCACCA
rnacentral:tRNA from 1 species